rnacentral:rRNA from 1 species
GAGUUUGAUCCUGGCUCAGAUUGAACGCUGGCGGCAUGCCUUACACAUGCAAGUCGAACGGCAGCACGGGAGUAAUCCUGGUGGCGAGUGGCGAACGGGUGAGUAAUACAUCGGAACGUGUCCUGUAGUGGGGGAUAGCCCGGCGAAAGCCGGAUUAAUACCGCAUACGCUCUACGGAGGAAAGGGGGGGAUCGCAAGACCUCCCGCUACAGAGGCGGCCGAUGGCAGAUUAGCUAGUUGGUGGGGUAAAGGCCUACCAAGGCGACGAUCUGUAGCUGGUCUGAGAGGACGACCAGCCACACUGGGACUGAGACACGGCCCAGACUCCUACGGGAGGCAGCAGUGGGGAAUUUUGGACAAUGGGCGAAAGCCUGAUCCAGCAAUGCCGCGUGUGUGAAGAAGGCCUUCGGGUUGUAAAGCACUUUUGUCCGGAAAGAAAACUUCUGCCCUAAUACGGCGGGAGGAUGACGGUACCGGAAGAAUAAGCACCGGCUAACUACGUGCCAGCAGCCGCGGUAAUACG